AUUGAACGCUGGCGGCAUGCCUUACACAUGGAAGUCGAACGGUAACAGGUCUUCGGAUGCUGACGAGUGGCGAACGGGUGAGUAAUACAUCGGAACGUGCCCGAUCGUGGGGGAUAACGGAGCGAAAGCUUUGCUAAUACCGCAUACGAUCUACGGAUGAAAGCAGGGGACCGCAAGGCCUUGCGCGGACGGAGCGGCCGAUGGCAGAUUAGGUAGUUGGUGGGAUAAAAGCUUACCAAGCCGACGAUCUGUAGCUGGUCUGAGAGGACGACCAGCCACACUGGGACUGAGACACGGCCCAGACUCCUACGGGAGGCAGCAGUGGGGAAUUUUGGACAAUGGGCGAAAGCCUGAUCCAGCCAUGCCGCGUGCAGGAUGAAGGCCUUCGGGUUGUAAACUGCUUUUGUACGGAACGAAAAGACUCUUUCUAAUAAAGAGGGUCCAUGACGGUACCGUAAGAAUAAGCACCGGCUAACUACGUG
rnacentral:rRNA from 1 species